UGCUAGCUUCCAUAUAGAGAUCACUUUUUGAAUUAUCGAAUUGAUUUGAUUUUUUAAUUUUCUUCUCAAAAAAAUCAAACAAAUCUAUAGGAGGAUGAUAAAAUCAGAUCACAUCUGAUUUCUUUUUUCAUUUUUCUCUUCUCAAGAGAAAAAUCAAGGUCUAUAGGAGAAUACAAAAGAUCUAAUCUCUUUCUUCUUCCUUCUUGUCCAACCC
rnacentral:lncRNA from 1 species